GCGCUCGUAGCUCAGCUGGAUAGAGUACCUGGCUACGAACCAGGCGGUC
rnacentral:tRNA from 1 species